rnacentral:tRNA from 1 species
GUUGGUGUGGUGUAGGGGUUAUCACGUUAGUCUUACACGUUGAAGGUCCCCAGUUCAAUCCUGGGCAUUAACA